AAAGCAAAAUCCACACUUAAGAGCACAAGUUGGUCUCACAGCAGCAUCAUGGGGUUUGUUGCCUUCACUUGAAACACUGGCCAGAUCCUUCUCUGCAGCAUUUACUGAAGUUACUUUGGAAGGAAAUUGAUUCAUUGCAUAGAGGUGCCUGCAUAAGAGAUGAGCUCAAACUACAAACCUCAGAACCAGACGAAACACCUGUAAAGGGAAAACUUGGCACAGGAGUGAACAGCAGCUGGGACUGAGCCAAAUACUGCUCCAGCGUAUAUCCGGAAUAACUCUACUGCAGGCAAUUCAUUAAUGCAACUUCAUUGAAAUGGCUGACAUUACUCUGGUAUGGUGAAACCCGGAUAUUCCAGAUAAAUUCCAUGGAUGGCGCUCUAUCAGAAUCUCCAUUUCUACAAUCUGAAUGGGCGUUGGGAACUCUUACGUGAUGAGUUCUACCAAGACAGAAAGCAAAGAUUAAAAAUAAUCUUUUUCCAGG